GAGCGAGUGAAGUGUAGUGGUUAGAGAAUUAGGCUAUGAUUCUGGAGAUCAGGGUUCAAAUCCCAGCUCAGCCA